rnacentral:rRNA from 1 species
GACGAACGCUGGCGGCGUGCUUAACACAUGCAAGUCGAACGAGGUGCCUCCUGACCUUCGGGUCGGGGGGUUUCCGUAGUGGCGAACGGGUGAGUAGCACGUGAGCAACCUGCCCCGAUCUCUGGGAUAACACCGGGAGACCGGUGCUAAUACCGGAUGUCCUUGCCGUCUCGCAUGUGACGGUGUGGAAAGCCUUCGGGUGGUUCGGGUGGGGCUCGCGGCCUAUCAGCUUGUUGGUGGGGUAACGGCCUACCAAGGCGUCGACGGGUAGCUGGUCUGAGAGGACGAUCAGCCACACUGGGACUGAGACACGGCCCAGACUCCUACGGGAGGCAGCAGUGGGGAAUCUUGCGCAAUGGGCGAAAGCCUGACGCAGCAACGCCGCGUGGGGGAUGAAGGCUCUCGGGUUGUAAACCCCUUUCGCCAGGGACGAAAUUGACGGUACCUGGAGAAGAAGCCCCGGCCAACUACGUGCCAGCAGCCGCGGUAAUACGUAGGGGGCGAGCGUUGUCCGGAUUCAUUGGACG